rnacentral:tRNA from 1 species
GCCGACGUGGCUCAGUGGUAGAGCAGCUGAUUCGUAAUCAGCAGGUCGUGAGUUCAAAUCUCAUCGUCGGCU